rnacentral:rRNA from 1 species
CCCCAGCGCCACAAGUGGUUAUCACGAUUAUUGGGCCUAAAGCGUUCGUAGCCGGUUUGGUAAAUCUCUUGUGAAAUUGUUCGGCUUAACCGGACAGCGUGCAGGAGACACUGCCAAGCUCGAGACCGGGAGGCGUGUGAAGUAUGUCGUGGGGACUGGUAAAAUGGGAUAAUCCACGAUAGACUACCGAUGGCGAAGGCAUCACACGAGAACGGAUCUGACGGUGAGGAACGAAAGCCAGGGGAGCGAACCGG